CCUCAUAUCUCAACCCACUAGUUCCCCUCCUCUCUUUCUCCCUCGCGCUCGACUCCCCUGCCGCCCCUUCCCGUCCCCACCCCGACGCUGGCCGCCAUCCCCGCUCCCCUCCCCCACCCCAACACGAUGAAUGGGACGUCUGUGCCCGCCCCUGCCCUCCUUCUCCCUCGCAUCUGGUGGUUUCCCUCCGCAAAGCAGGCAGCAGGCGACGACAUCGACAGUCGCAAGCAUCAACGACCAUCGAUGACUAACAACACCUUUCCUUCGGCCCAAGAUCGGCAUCUACAAACUCCUUCAAACAUCUGUGCCUGGAUCCAAGCUCAAACCAUGGGUAAGAAAACGCAUUGCAUUUUCGGCGUCCUCCUCCUCGGAUCGGUCGACUGCCCCGGAUCGACAGCUUGUUCGGUGAUAGAGUGCUCUGCCUCCCCCUUCUGAGUUCCGAAAGUGUGUUCCCCCAUUUUUGGAUGAACCCUAACAACAUCUUAUCUAUAUAUGACCUCGAUGUGGCAUGACAUUUUGGCCUCCUCCUAAGACAAAUACAUUGUUGUUAGCUUCUGGAUUACCAAUAUCUAGUAGAGUAGCUUCGAUUUGGAUUUAGGAUCGCAUGACUUGGUCGCUGUGUACUUCAAUCUGUUAUUAAUAGAUCAUGAAGUCAAGAUUUGUUGCAAUAACUAAAAAAUUGCUUUAUGUCACCUAGCCAUUCCUAGAAAAGAAAGGGCAAACUCUCCUGGAUGGUAUUGUAUAUAUUUGCAGUAGGGUGAACUUUUAGGGUCAUGCAUAUACACAUAGGAAGGACCUAUGUUAACUUGGAAUUGUUCAAGAAAUAUGUCAUCCAAAGCAAUGUCUUAGCAUGUAUGAUGUACUUUUUAUCACAAAAUGUCUGUGGUAUGGACCAAUGAAAUGCAUUUAUGCCUUCGGCUAAUUUUUUACGCUCACAAUUUCAUUUACUCCAUUUGUUUGUAUACUUCUGCGAGGCAAUGUAAACGGCAUGGGCACAAUUUUGCUGACCACGCCGGAGAGCAAAGAGGGAGAAAGGGAGAAGAAGAGACGGCGCGCGCAACUCAUCAUAUGGCUCCACUGACGUCGUCGACUCCGACAACAACGAGUAGGAGAUCACCAUCGUGGGGUUGCUGUGGAAUGGUGACCACCUCGACAUACAGCUCAAAGGUUGGCAAAGAGAAGCUGGUUUUGGAAAUUGGUUAGGCGGUUCUACAACGCCCUUGCUCUAAACCUUGUUUCUUGGGUCAAGCAAUGAAUAAACUACUACCCAUUGAAAUUGUGGAUCUACUUUAUUGGGACACUUUGGCUACAACCCAUAAAAAUAAGAGAUCAUUAGUCCCAGAGCUAGCGGAUUGUAGUUGACUUCAACUGCUUCUACAUGGUGAUGCUCGCGCACCUUGCAUUUGGAUUUACAACCCGCCAAAUUGAGCUGACAGGAAUACACAACAUCCUGGUCGGUUUGUUGGUGUUUGUGACUCGACCGCGCACCAUGGGGUUACCCACAUGAUGCUUUUGGGUAGGACGGCGUCGUUGAUUGCGACUCGAUGGUACGUGCGGAAGCACGUCAGUAUUGCUCCUAGGUUUAUAUAGGUUUGGGCCGCUUUGAAUUGUGUAACACCCUACUUCCUGUUGUGGCUAUGUAUUGGUUUCUGGAGUAUGAGGAUUACAAAUAGGCUUUGGGAUGGCUCGGUUGCUGUUGAUGAGGAUGGGGUGAGAUGAGAUAAUUUUGUAGGGGCCCUCCUCGGCUUACAUACAUGACCAGAGAGUUAUCCCUUUACAAGUUGUGAUCACUAUUACUUCACUUA